GACGAACGCUGGCGGCGUGCCUAAUACAUGCAAGUCGAACGGAGUGGCGAACGGGUGAGUAACCCGUGGGUGACCUGCCCUGCACUUCGGGAUAAGCCUGGGCAACUGGUUCUACUACCGGAUGGGGUGGGAUGGGCCCUCGGCCUAUCAGCUUGUUGGUGGGGUAAUGGCCUACCAAGGCGGCGACGGGUAGCAGGCCGGGGAGGGUGGACGGCCACAGUGGGACUGAGACACGGCCCAGAGUCCUACUGGAGGCAGCAGUGGGGAGUAUUGCACAAUGGGCGGAAGCCUGAUGCAGCGACGCCGCGUGGGGGAUGACGGCCUUCGGGUUGUAAACUCCUGUCACCAUCGACGCGGUAGAUGGAGAAGAAGCACCGGCUAACUACGUGCCAGCAGCCGCGGUAAUAC
rnacentral:rRNA from 1 species